rnacentral:lncRNA from 1 species
UUGCACCCACUUCACAAAUCUGGCACCUAAAGUUGGAUUGGGCUCUACAUUGAAGAUUAUACCACACCUAAAUUAACAAGAAGUGGAACUACAAGGUAUGUUUCUCUAAUCCCUAAUUUCGAGUUUCAUUUAACGAUUAUCUUUUAAUGUGUGGAUUUAGUUAGGAUGUAUUGUGGUAGAUUGGUGUACUAUUGUGAAUUGGGGAACUUUCAUGGUAGUGUAGGUAAGAAAUAGAAAGUAAUUCACAUUGCACACCAAGUGUUCGACGAAAUGCCACAUUAACGUAUGUUUUGAUUUUUUGGGCUUUUCACUUAUGUAAUAGUUUACAUCGUUAUUGUAUAGCGUUUUUGUCGAAAAAAUCAUGUGUAAUUUCAAUAGAAAACAUUACCUUAACAUUUGAAUUCACAAAGGCAUUCAUGUUUCAACAUAUCCACUCACGUCACUACCUUCGUCCCUAUGUUUUCUAAUGCAAACAAUCUCCGAUUGGGAUGAAAUU